rnacentral:rRNA from 1 species
UAACACAUGCAAGUCGAGCGAAGCAGUUAAGUGAUUUCUUCGGAUUGAUUCUUAACUGACUGAGCGGCGGACGGGUGAGUAACGCGUGGGUGACCUGCCCCAUACCGGGGGAUAACAGCUGGAAACGGCUGCUAAUACCGCAUAAGCGCACAGAGCUGCAUGGCUCGGUGUGAAAAACUCCGGUGGUAUGGGAUGGGCCCGCGUCUGAUUAGGCAGUUGGCGGGAUAACGGCCCACCAAACCGACGAUCAGUAGCCGGCCUGAGAGGGCGACCGGCCACAUUGGGACUGAGACACAGCCCAAACUCCUACGGGAGGCAGCAGUGGGGAAUAUUGCACAAUGGGGGAAACCCUGAUGCAGCGACGCCGCGUGAGCGAAGAAGUAUUUCGGUAUGUAAAGCUCUAUCAGCAGGGAAGAUAAUGACGGUACCUGACUAAGAAGCCCCGGCUAACUACGUGCCAGCAGCCGCGGUAAUACGUAGGGGGCAAGCGUUAUCCGGAUUUACUGGGUGUAAAGGGAGCGUAGACGGCAAGGCAAGUCUGAUGUGAAAACCCAGGGCUUAACCCUGGGACUGCAUUGGAAACUGUCUGGCUCGAGUGCCGGAGAGGUAAGCGGAAUUCCUAGUGUAGCGGUGAAAUGCGUAGAUAUUAGGAAGAACACCAGUGGCGAAGGCGGCUUACUGGACGGUAACUGACGUUGAGGCUCGAAAGCGUGGGGAGCAAACAGG